GGAUGCUCCAUCACACCGCAUGGUGUGUUGGGAAAGCCUUUKCGGCAUGGGAUGGGGUCGCGUCCUAUCAGCUUGAYGGCGGGGUAACGGCCCACCAUGGCUUCGACGGGUAGCCGGCCUGAGAGGGCGACCGGCCACAUUGGGACUGAGAUACGGCCCAGACUCCUACGGGAGGCAGCAGUGGGGAAUAUUGCACAAUGGGCGCAAGCCUGAUGCAGCGACGCCGCGUGAGGGAUGGAGGCCUUCGGGUUGUAAACCUCUUUUAUCAGGGAGCAAGGCUUCGGUUGAGUGUACCUGUUGAAUAAGCACCGGCUAACUACGUGCCAGCAGCCGCGGUAAUACGUAGGGUGCAAGCGUUAUCCGGAAUUAUUGGGCGUAAAGGGCUCGUAGGCGGUUCGUCGCGUCCGGUGUGAAAGUCCAUCGCUUAACGGUGGAUCCGCGCCGGGUACGG
rnacentral:rRNA from 1 species